AGAGUUUGAUCCUGGCUCAGGAUGAACGCUGGCGGCGUGCCUAAUACAUGCAAGUCGAACGAGAAGUCACGACUUCGGUUGUGACGGAGAGUGGCGCACGGGUGCGUAACACGUAGCUGACCUGCCCUUCGCAGGGGGAUAACACAGCGAAAGUUGUGCUAAUACCGCGUAGGCUGGUUCUUGUUAGAGAGGGAUCAGUAAAGAGUUAUCGGCGAAGGAGGGGGCUGCGGUCCAUCAGCUUGUUGGUGAGGUAACAGCUCACCAAGGCGAAGACGGAUAGGGGGCCUGAGAGGGUGACCCCCCACACUGGAACUGAGACACGGUCCAGACUCCUACGGGAGGCAGCAGUAAGGAAUAUUGCACAAUGGGCGCAAGCCUGAUGCAGCAACGCCGCGUGAGGGAUGAAGGGUUUCGGCUCGUAAACCUCUUUUCUGUGUGAAGAGCAAGGACGGUAGCACAGGAAUAAGUCUCGGCUAACUACGUGCCAGCAGCCGCGGUAAAACGUAGGAGGCGAGCGUUAUCCGGAAUUACUGGGCGUAAAGCGCACGUAGGCGGCGCGCAAAGUGGUGCGUGAAAGCUCCCGGCUCAACUGGGAGAGGACGUACCAAACUGGCGUGCUAGAGAGAGAUAGAGGUC
rnacentral:rRNA from 1 species